ACCGCCCCUGCACCUGGGCGUCUGCUGACCGCACAGCAGGGCCCGCCAGAGAUUCAGUUCUGGGUGGUGAGGGGCCUUGCGAGGACCAGGGCCACCGAUCGCCGCCUGCCCCCGCGGAAAUAGGUCCAAGGCCGCGUUUCCAAGGCGCCCCCAGUGCUGUGGGAGGUGCUGGUCCAGACCACGCUUCGAAGGAGCCAGGCGAGAGGAAGCCUCUCGGUGCGGGGAGCUGCGCGGGUUUCUAAAUGCUCGGCCUGUUUGCGUCCAGUUCAGGACCAGACGGAAGCCGUGCGCUCCCUGCAAAUGGCUGGAGCGCACUGGCACGAUCUCCACUCACUGCAACCUCCGCCUCCCGGGUUCUCCUGCCUCAGCCUCCUGAGUAGCUGGGAUUACAGGCGCCCGCCACCACGCCCGGCUAAUUUUUGUAGUUUUAGUAGAGACGAGGGUUCACCAUGUUGGCCAGGCUGGUCUCGAACUCCCGACCUCAGGCAAUCCGCCCGCCUCAGCCUCCCAAAGUGCUGGGAUUACAGGCGUGAGCCACCGCGCCCGGCCCCUGCAAAUGGUUUCUGAGGCAGCGGCAGUGCAGCAGGCACCGGCGCUGAACGGCUUCUGCUGAAUGAAUGACACGGGUGUCACAGUGACAGAGGACAGGCGUUUCACAAGAAUACCGAAGACGUAGUGAGCCUUCUGAGUGUGGGGACGCUCUUCUCUACACUUUACAUCAUGAAUUCUUUUAAUCCACAAAAUGGCUCUGUUGUUGCUGGUAUUAUUGUCCCCAUUUUACAGAUUGGGCAACUCAGCCACAGAGAAAUGAGAGGAACUUGGUGCAAGGUUAUACAGGACCCAUAAGUCACAGCAGAACCCGUGCAGGCUGGCUCCCCGGCCUCUUCUGGGAACUGUAUAUGGCCCCAAUUUGUGGGAACCUCAUAGUCAGGACUGCCCAGAGGAUGGUCAGCAACGAACAUGCGUUUUCAUGAUUUAAAAAUAGUUGUGUUCUUAAAUAUGCUGUGAAGGAAGUAGCCCUAGAUUUUAUUCAUCACUGAAAAAUUCAGCAAGAAUUCCUCUGCUGCGACUCUUUUCAACAAAUAUUUAUGAGGCUUCUUUCCUGGGCCAGCCCUGAAACUAGACACUGGCGAUGCAAAAUAGGUCAAAGUUUGUGCCUUCAGGAAGUUUACUGUCUACAAGAAAAGAUAGACAAGGGAAUCAACAGCCACGAGACCACAGGAAAAGUGCUCGCUGAGCCAGCUGCCCUUGCUGUCUCUGUGAUUCAGGAGCAGAAGGGAGCUCUGGGGUCAGGGAAGACUUCUGAGGUGAGGUCAGCAUUGACUGGAAUUGGAAGAAUGUUAGCAUUCGCUCCACAAGGCAGUAGGAAUUGCUUGAAGGAAGGCUUGGAGGUGUGAAGCAGCGUGACUCGUGUUUUCCAGGAACCAGGUCCUUGCCGCUGAAGAGAGGCAUUUAGACGGGAGCCCAGGGGCUC
rnacentral:lncRNA from 1 species